UUCUUUUAUUAGGGAAGAAAAGAUGGUGGAAAAACCAUUAUGACGGUACCUAAUGAAUAAGCCCCGGCUAACUAUGUGCCAGCAGCCGCGGUAAUACAUAGGGGGCAAGCNGUUAUCCGGAAUUAUUGGGCGUAAAGGGUGCGUAGGCGGUUAAAUAAGUUUAUGGUCUAAGUGCAACGCUCAACGUUGUGAUGCUAUAAAAACUGUUUAGCUAGAGUUGGAUAGAGGCAAGUGGAAUUCCGUGUGUAGUGGUAAAAUGCGUAAAUAUACGGAGGAACACCAGAAGCGAAGGCGGCUUGCUGGGUCUUAACUGACGCUGAGGCACGAAAGCGUGGGGAGCAAACAGGAUUAGAUACCCUGGUAGUCCACGCCCUAAACGAUGAGUACUAAACGUUGGAUAAAACCAGUGUUGAAGUUAACACAUUAAGUACUCCGCCUGAGUAGUACGUACGCAAGUAUGAAACUUAAAGGAAUUGACGGGACUCCGCACAAGCGGUGGAUCAUGUUGUUUAAUUCGAAGGUACCCGAAAAACCUCACCAGGUCUUGACAUGCUUUUGCAAAGCUGUAGAAAUACAGUGGAGGUUAUCAAAAGCACAGGUGGUGCAUGGUUGUCGUCAGCUCGUGUCGUGAGAUGUUGGGUUAAGUCCCCCAACGAGCCCAACCCUUGGUGUUAAUUGCCAUCAUUAAGUUGGGGACUUUACAAGACUGCCAAUGAU
rnacentral:rRNA from 1 species